AUUGAACGCUGGCGGCAUGCCUUACACAUGCAAGUCGAACGGCAGCACGGGAGCAAUCCUGGUGGCGAGCGGCGAACGGGUGAGUAAUAUAUCGGAACGUGCCCAGUCGUGGGGGAUAACGCAGCGAAAGCUGUGCUGAUACCGCAUACGAUCUAAGGAUGAAAGCGAGGGGUCGCAAGACCUCGCGCGAUUGGAGCGGCCGAUAUCAGAUUAGCUAGUUGGUGGGGUAAAGGCCCACCAAGGCGACGAUCUGUAGCUGGUCUGAGAGGACGACCAGCCACACUGGAACUGGGACACGGUCCAGAGUCCUACGGGAGGCAGCAGUGGGGAAUUUUGGACAAUGGGCGCAAGCCUGAUCCAGCAAUGCCGCGUGCAGGAUGAAGGCCUUCGGGUUGUAAACUGCUUUUGUACGGAACGAAACGGCCCUUUCUAAUACAGGGGGCUAAUGACGGUACCGUAAGAAUAAGCACCGGCUAACUACGUGCCAGCCGCCGCGGUAA
rnacentral:rRNA from 1 species